GGAGUGGGCCGGACGGCCGCGCGUCCCCCUCGUGGGGGCGUGAGGAAAGUCCGGACUCCGCAGGGCAGGGUGCAGGCCAACGGCCUGGCGCGGCGACGCGACGGAAAGUGCCACAGAAAAGAAGACUCCCGGGAUACCGUCCGGUCCUUCGGACCGGUGCAGGUUCCGGGAAAAGCUGAAACGGUGCGGUAAGAGCGCACCAGCGUCGGGGUGACCCGGCGGCUUGGCAAACCCCACCCGGAGCAAGGGCGAAUAGGAGCGGUCAAGGCCUGCCCGGCCGUCGCUCGGGUCAGCCCGCUCGAGGCCGUCGGCAACGGCGGUCCCAGACAAAUGGCCGUCCACGACAGAAUCCGGCUUACAGGCCCACUCCACCA
rnacentral:RNase_P_RNA from 1 species